rnacentral:lncRNA from 1 species
GGAACUGGAAAUAGUCGAAGUAUAAUAUGGUAGUACAACACGUCUAUCAAGCCGAGAGUUAGCUGUUGCAGGAGAUGUGCAGGGCUCAUGCUUUGAAAAGUGUAGUAUUAUGUCGGGUAGUUCAAUUUGUUCAAGUUUAGGGCACUAUGGUCAGUUAUGUGACCUUAUGCUCAUCAUGUCUAGUUUCUUGGAUCAUUACCACGAUUUGGCAGGCCUCAAUUCGUGCAGUUCAUUUUUGCGCGUCUGGCCAGCCAAAUCGGGGCAACCGAAUUGUCCGCUGAAUUUUGGCUGUGGUUGACGCUUUGGCAGGGGUGGCGUGGGGCAGAAUCCAAACAAACCCUUGUAACUGUUUUCUGAUAGGUGAUAUCGAUCCUGGGGACCUUUCCUUGAAGCCGUGAGAGCCAUGAUCAAGAGCCUUGAUUUGUGAAAUAUAAGUUUGGUUUUAAAAAGAGAC